GCAUUGGUGGUUCAGUGGUGGAACACUGGCCUGCCACCCGGGUAACCCGAGUUCAAUCCCGGUUAAUGCA